GAGGACCUUUGGCGGCGCGCCUAACACAUGCAAGUCGAACGAGAGAUGAGGAGCUUGCUCUUCAGAUCGAGUGGCGAACGGGUGAGUAACGCGUGAGGAACCUGCCUCAAAGAGGGGGACAACAGUUGGAAACGACUGCUAAUACCGCAUAAGCCCACGGCUCGGCAUCGAGCAGAGGGAAAAGGAGCAAUCCGCUUUGAGAUGGCCUCGCGUCCGAUUAGCUAGUUGGUGAGGUAACGGCCCACCAAGGCGACGAUCGGUAGCCGGACUGAGAGGUUGAACGGCCACAUUGGGACUGAGACACGGCCCAGACUCCUACGGGAGGCAGCAGUGGGGAAUAUUGCACAAUGGGGGAAACCCUGAUGCAGCGACGCCGCGUGGAGGAAGAAGGUCUUCGGAUUGUAAACUCCUGUUGUUGAGGAAGAUAAUGACGGUACUCAACAAGGAAGUGACGGCUAACUACGUGCCAGCAGCCGCGGUAAAACGUAGGUCACAAGCGUUGUCCGGAAUUACUGGGUGUAAAGGGAGCGCAGGCGGGAGAACAAGUUGGAAGUGAAAUCCAUGGGCUCAACCCAUGAACUGCUUUCAAAACUGUUUUUCUUGAGUAGUGCAGAGGUAGGCGGAAUUCCCGGUGUAGCGGUGGAAUGCGUAGAUAUCGGGAGGAACACCAGUGGCGAAGGCGGCCUACUGGGCACCAACUGACGCUGAGGCUCGAAAGUGUGGGUAGCAAACAAGAUUAGAUACCCUGGUAGUCCACACCGUAAA
rnacentral:rRNA from 1 species